GCAAAAGAAGGAAGGAAAUCUUAACCUUGGAGUGAUCUUUCUGGGCCGCCUGCCUUCAACACUUUUUGAAACCCACAUCUAUGACUACUUUACCCAGUUUGGCACUAUUAGCAGAUUCAAAUUGUCCAGAAGUAAACGGACUAGAAACAGCAGAGGAUAUGCCUUUGUGGAGUUUGAGUCUGAGGAUGUUGCCAAGAUAGUUGCAGAAACUACCUUUCUGGUGAAAGACUUUUAUCUUGUAAAUUUAUGCCACCAGAAAGAGUCCAUAAAGAACUUUUUAAAGAAUGGAAUGUUCCGUUUCAACAACCAUCACUUCCAUCAGUGAGACGCUAUAAUCAGAAACGGGGGCAUUUUGAAAUGUUGAAGAUGGAAUAUUGGUUCAAGAGGAAGGAAAAAUUACUCUGGAAGAAGCUAGCUAAGAAGGGGGUUGAUUAUAGUUUCCCUUCGUUGGUCUUACCUAAUCCGAAGUAAAAGACUUCACAGGGCACUCUUAGCACCCCUGAGGAUCCCAAGGAGUCCGAAGGUACCCAGGUUUUGCCUGCCCCAGGAAAAAGGCUUUCAGGUAUACCUAAGAAAAAGGAGAGGAAGAUGUUGAAGGGAGUUCACAGAAGCAUUGUCACAGGCAAAACAGGUGGUCUAAGAAGUCUGUAGACAGCCAGGGUCCCACACUAGUUUGUACACCAACAUUUUUGGAGAGACGAAAAUCAGAAGUGACCGAAAUCAAUGACAGUAAAGAUGAUGAAGUCAUUUUCAAACAGCCUGUGCCCACAGUGAAAGAAGAGGGGCAAAAAACUCCAACACCUGCACACUCUGGGGAAAAAAAAAGAGCAAGAAAAAGGAAGAGCAACCAGUGAUCCUGAAAGCAUUCUAUGUGCACAUUGGGGCAGAUGUGAUUUUGUUAUAAAGGCCUACUUUAUUUUACCAGGUGCAGUCAUGUGCAAGCCACUGAUGAGACUGAUGGAGGGAAAAAACGUGUUGGUUCAUGCCAAUGAGGAAGGCCAUCAGGAACUUGGCUGUUUUGCACUCUCCUGACCUGAGUUUGUAUUCAGGCUUCACAACCCCCUUAGUUUACUCUGAAUCUUACAGGCUUAGACACCAGCAGCAGCCUUUGCUGGCCCCACUAAUGCUGUUUGACUGUGUGGUGGUUGUGCACAUAAAACCCAAAAGAAAUGUCAGGCUUCAACCUCAGACCUCUGAAACUGGAAGUUAAGUACACAUUCGAAGAGUGAGAAGGCAGUCCAGUGUGAAUACACAUUUGCACAAGUACUGUGAGGAUCUGA
rnacentral:lncRNA from 1 species